CAAGUCGAGCGGUAACAGUCCUUCGGGAGCUGACGAGCGGCGGACGGGUGAGUAACGCGUAGGAAUCUACCUGGUAGUGGGGGAUAGCCCGGGGAAACUCGGAUUAAUACCGCAUACGCCUUAAGGGGGAAAGCAGGGGAACUUCGGUCCUUGUGCUAUCAGAUGAGCCUGCGUUGGAUUAGCUAGUUGGUAGGGUAAAGGCCUACCAAGGCGACGAUCCAUAGCUGGUCUGAGAGGAUGAUCAGCCACACUGGGACUGAGACACGGCCCAGACUCC
rnacentral:rRNA from 1 species